rnacentral:rRNA from 1 species
CCUACGGGAGGCAGCAGUGGGGAAUUUUGGACAAUGGGCGCAAGCCUGAUCCAGCAAUGCCGCGUGCAGGAUGAAGGCCUUCGGGUUGUAAACUGCUUUUGUACGGAACGAAACGGUGAGCUCUAAUAAAGUUUGCUAAUGACGGUACCGUAAGAAUAAGCACCGGCUAACUACGUGCCAGCAGCCGCGGUAAUACGUAGGGUGCGAGCGUUAAUCGGAAUUACUGGGCGUAAAGCGUGCGCAGGCGGUUAUAUAAGACAGAUGUGAAAUCCCCGGGCUCAACCUGGGACCUGCAUUUGUGACUGUAUAGCUAGAGUACGGUAGAGGGGGAUGGAAUUCCGCGUGUAGCAGUGAAAUGCGUAGAUAUGCGGAGGAACACCGAUGGCGAAGGCAAUCCCCUGGACCUGUACUGACGCUCAUGCACGAAAGCGUGGGGAGCAAACAGGAUUAGAUACCCUGGUAGUCCACGCCCUAAACCGAUGUCAACUGGUUGUUGGGUCUUCACUGACUCAGUAACGAAGCUAACGCGUGAAGUUGACCGCCUGGGGAGUACGGCCGCAAGGUUGAAACUCAAAGGAUUGACGGCUGAGACGNGCGAGCGACGACGAGGGAGGAGG